rnacentral:rRNA from 1 species
AUGAACGUUGGCGGCGUGGAUUAGGCAUGCAAGUCGAGCGCUCAUCAGCAAUGGUGGGAGCGGCGAACGGCGUAGUAAGGUGUAGGAACGUACCCUCAGGUCGAGGAUAGCUACGGGAAACUGUAGGUAAUACUCGAUGAUCUCUGCGGAGCAAAGGUGAGAUUCCGCCUGAGGAGCGGCUUACAUGAUAUUAGCUAGUUGGUGAGGUAAUGGCUCACCAAGGCGUAGAUGUCUAGGGGGUGUGAGAGCAUGGCCCCCACGACCGGAACUGAGACACUGUCCGGACACCUACGGGUGGCUGCAGUCGAGAAUCUUCCGCAAUGGACGAAAGUCUGACGGAGCGACGCCGCGUGCGGGAAGAAGGUACUUCGUAUUGUAAACCGCUGUCAGGGGGGAUGAAAUCUCCGGGGGCUAUCCCUUGGAGUUGACAGAGCCCCAAAGGAAGCACGGGCUAAGUAUGUGCCAGCAGCCGCGGUAAUACAUACUGUGCGAACGUUAUUCGGAAUCACUGGGCUUAAAGGGUGCGUAGGCGGCGAUUCAAGUCAGAUGUGAAAUGCCUGAGCUCAACUGAGGCAUUGCGUUUGAAACUGGAUUGCUGGAGUGUCCCAGGGGUGUGCGGAACUACCCAGUGGAGCGGUGAAAAUGUGUUGAUAUUGGCAGGAACACCAGAGGCGAAAAGCGGCACACUGGGGGAUAACUGACGCUGAGGCCACGAAAGCCAGGGUAGCGAACGGGAUUAGAUACCCCGGUAGUCCUGGGCCGUAAACGAUGAGCACUAGGGCGGAAGGAAAGUUCGCUUUCUUUCUGCCGUAGCGAAAAGUGUUAAGUGCUCCGACUGGGGAGUAUGGUCGCAAGGCUGAAAACUCAAAGGAAUUGACGGGGGCUCACACAAGCGGUGGAUGAUGUGGCUUAAUUCGAGGCAACGCGAAGAACCUUAUCCUGGACUCGACAUGCAUGGAUUAACUCUGUGAAAGCAGAGCCACGCCUUCGGGUGGAACUUGCACAGGUGCUGCAUGGCUGUCGUCAGCUCGUGUCGUGAGACGUCGCGUUAAGUCGCUUAACGAGCGCAACCCUUGUCCUUAGUUGCCAUCAUUAAGUUGGGGACUCUAAGGAGACUGCCGGUGUCAAACCGGAGGAAGGUGGGGACGACGUCAAGUCAUCAUGGCCUUUAUGUCCAGGGCUGCACACGUCAUACAAUGCGGCGAACAAAGGGCAGCGAACCCGCGAGGGGAAGCUAAUCUCAAAAAGCGUCGCUCAGUUCGGAUU